rnacentral:rRNA from 1 species
AUUGAACGCUGGCGGCAGGCCUAACACAUGCAAGUCGAGCGGAGCGGCGGACGGGUGAGUAAUGCCUAGGAAUCUGCCUGGUAGUGGGGGUAACGGCCGGGAAAGGGGGCUUAAUCCGGCUACUUAUCGAUGGACCCUGGUCGGAGUAGCCAGUUGGUGGGGUAAAGGGCUACCAAGGCGACCGACCGUAACUGGUCUGAGGGGAUGAUCAGUCACACUGGAACUGAGACACGGUCCAGACUCCGACGGGAGGCAGCAGUGGGGAAUAUUGGACAAUGGGCAAAAGCCUGAUCCAGCCAUGCCGCGUGUGUGAAGAAGGUCUUCGGAUUGUAAAGCACUUUAAGUUGGGAGGCGUUACCAACAGAAUAAGCACCGGCUAACUUCGUGCCAGCAGCCGCGGUAAUAC